rnacentral:rRNA from 1 species
CAGGCCUACGGGACGCAGCAGUGAGGAAUAUUGGUCAGUGGACGAAAGUCUGAACCAGCCAUGCCGCGUGCAGGAAGACGGCUCUAUGAGUUGUAAACUGCUUUUGUACAAGGGUAAACCUGAAUACGUGUAUUCAGCUGAAAGUACUGUACGAAUAAGGAUCGGCUAACUCCGUGCCAGCAGCCGCGGUAAUACGGAGGAUCCAAGCGUUAUCCGGAUUUAUUGGGUUUAAAGGGUGCGUAGGCGGAUUGAUAAGUUAGAGGUGAAAUGUCCGGGCUCAACUCGGGAACUGCCUCUAAUACUGU